GAUGAACGCUGGCGGCGUGCCUAAUACAUGCAAGUCGAGCGAACAGACGAGGAGCUUGCUCCUCUGACGUUAGCGGCGGACGGGUGAGUCACACGUGGAUAACCUACCUAUAAGACUGGGAUAACUUCGGGAAACCGGAGCUAAUACCGGAUAAUAUAUUGAACCGCAUGGUUCAUUAGUGAAAGCCGGUUUUGCUGUCACUUAUAGAUGUAUCCGCGCCGCAUUAGCUAGUUGGUAAGGUAACGGCUUACCAUGGCGACGAUGCGUAGCCGACCUGAGAGGGUGAUCGGCCACACUGGAACUGAGACACGGUCCAGACUCCUACGGGAGGCAGCAGUAGGGAAUCUUCCGCAAAGGGCGAAAGCCUGACGGAGCAACGCCGCGUGAGUGACGAAGGUCUUCGGAUCGUAAAACUCUGUUAUUAGGGAAGAACAAAUGUGUAAGUAACUAUGCACGUCUUGACGGUACCUAAUCAGAAAGCCACGGCUAACUACGUG
rnacentral:rRNA from 1 species